rnacentral:tRNA from 1 species
UUCUCUGUAGCUCAGUUGGUUAGAGCGCUGCACCGGAAUCGCAGAGCCACAGGUUCGAUACCUGCCAGAGGGU